UUUUGACGCUCCCAUCUCCCAGGCUGGCCUGGGCGGCGACGCUGUCAAGGGCUGUGCCCAGCAGUUCCCAACAGUACAACAGAAGACUGAGGCCAUACAGCUUAUCUUGCCCCGACAUGAUCCUUCCAUUCCGUCGUGGGCCAUGCCCCAGCCUGCUCGUCACCGUGGCCACCCUCCUGUGUCCUCCACAUUGGCUCUGCCCCCUGCUGAGAGUUUUUCAAAGCCGGCGCGUCGAGCCCCACACAGGAGAGCGGCGCCCCCCCCCCCCCGUGUCACAUCCAGCCGCAAAAUCAUCCAAGAAGACGACGAAGUGGCCCUCACACAGGCAACUCGGAGAUGUGGGAGACUGCUCUUCAGGAGGUGGCGGAGACAGUGCCACUCCUUACCCCGGAGGAGGGCCGGGGGGAGACUUAUUUUUGUUCCGCCGCUGGUCCAACGGCCAGCAGUACCCACAUUUUCCAUAAAAGAGCAAUUUCCCUUUCCUCUGAGUUGCAAGGCUCGUGGGUUGACAAUGAGCGACACACUGCCUCCUCAUUCUCACCCACGACACCCCCUUUCGCCAGUGGUCAAGAGGUAGCAGUUCGGAGACGCAACACCUCUCCACGCAUCUCUGGCCAGUUCCUCCGGGAACACGCAGAGUUUUGCUGUGAUGACUCAGAACGCGAUGCUUUCUGGGCCAUCCGACACAACUCCCCAUCGCUGCACCACUGUGGGUAUGUCGACUGUCCCUUUGGUACCACUUGUACGGAGUUUGGGGGCAUGGCUUGCGCUGCCCAACCCGUCACGGUGGCUCAUUUAGAUGGUUCGACUCGGUUACGCAAUUCAGUUCGCCUGGCGACCUCCCAAGUUCAAUGGCGUUCUAGAGACUUCGGUGGCAGUCCAGGAUGCCUCUGUCUUGCGCGAGGAGAUUGCUGUCCUGCUGGCGAAGGAUGCAAUCAAGCCGGUCCCUCCAGCCGAGAUGAGGAGCGGGUUUUACAACCCUUACUUCAUCGUACCCAAGAAAAGCGGUGUCCUUCGACCUAUCCUGGAUCUGCGAGUCUUGAAUCGGGCCCUGCACAAGCUCCCGUUCAAGAUGUUGAUGCAGAAACUUAUUAUCAAAUGCGUCUAAACCCAGGAUUGGUUUGCAGCGAUCGACCUGAAGGACGCGUUCUUUCAUGUCUCGAUCCUCCCUCUCCACAGACCGUUUCUGCGGUUUGCGUUCAAGGGUCGGGCAUGGCAGUACAAAGUCCUCCCCCUCGGGCUCUUCCUGUCCCCCUUGUCUUCAUGAAGGUCGUGGUGGGCGCCCUUGCCCCACUCUGGGAAGUGGUCAUCAGGAUCCUUAACUAUCUCGACGACUGGCUCAACAUGGCCCGGUCCCGAGAGGAGCUGUGCAAUCACAGGGACCUGGUGCUUCGGCACCUCAGUCAGUUGGGGCUUCAGGUCAACCGAGAGAAGAGCAAGCUCUCCCCUGCACAGAGAAUCUCUUAUCUCGGUAUGAAGUUAGACUCGGUGAGUAUGACGGCACGUCUCACCAGCAAGCGUGCCCAGUUAGUGCU
ensembl:lncRNA